rnacentral:lncRNA from 1 species
CUAUAAAAAGCAUGAAUAAUGCCUUGUUGAGGAGAUUUUUUUUCAGCCAUCCUCAUCUGGCCUAUAAAAGGCAUGAAUAAUGCCUUGUUGAGGAGAUUUUUUUUCAGCCAUCUAAUCUUUUCAAAAUAGGACAUAGUUUAUAGAAUCAUAAUUUGAAUUGCAGAUUCAAAAUUCAAGAUCCGAAAGUUCCGUUUCCAGCCUAAAAUCCAAAAAUAUAUGCCUUAAGUUUAAUUUUAAGUUAUGUGGUUGAUUAUUGGCUUCUCUUAACUCAAAUUCUAAUAGUCGAUGUCCAGAAUGAUUCCUGGUUUGGUUUUGAGUUGAUUUGAGUUCAAAUGUGUCAUCUUAGUGAAUUUUGAUCACUGAAGUAUUCCUGGGUGUUUGAGAGGCUAUUUUGAUUAGAAAAUUGCUUUUGAUGUUGUUGCGUUGAGAGAUCCACUGCUGGAUUUCUGAAACUGCUCUGAAUUGCUGCUAGGUCCUGUUAUUACUGCUGAUUUUUCUCAUUUCCUUUCCUUUCUAAUUCCAGGUACAUACUCGAGAUUGAAUUCAUGUAACUAUUUUAUGAAAUGAAAGUGUUGCUGUUUGACCUUCUGAGAAGCAUCCACUAUCUCAUUGAUUAACUGCACUACCAUUGGUUCUAGGACUUUUGGAAGUUUAUUGUUUCAUCCUAUUUGCAGUAGAGUGAAUGGAUUUGUGAUAAUGUUGAACUGUUUAAGAUCUGAACUGUUAAAUCGAUUUGAAGUCUUGUUACAAACAUGCGAACUCAACAAUCAUCAAUAGUAGCUCAAAUUUGGGUCAGAACUCAUAGUCUGCAUGAUUAAAUGUUAGCAGAAAAUCAAUGACCUCGUAGUAGAAGUUAAACGCGUGAACUGGUUUAGUAAUCUUGACCUUAGCUGGUAGUUACUUUUUAUCACUGUUCAUGUUAAAGUAUAAUUUGGUAUCUGCAUUUGAAUAAAGGUUCUAGAUCUAAUUGGUAUGUGCACUUGAAUUGUUGUUGGCAAAUUAGCAUUAAAUUUCAGGGAACAAGUGCUCACCUCCAUUGAAUUAAUUCAUUGAGUCUAGUAAUUCGUUUGAGUUAAUUAGUAGUUUAGUUUGAUUAUCACCUUUAGAUAAUGCCAUGAUCUCUUAGUCAUCUUGAAUUGAAUAAACGUGCAUAGCCCUUCCUUGUUACAAAUUGUUUAAUGCACUUAACACAAUUUGCAUAAGUUCAGUGCAUAUUUGGUUCAGCGUAGGCGGAAUUCAGGAACAGUUAAAUGCACAGGGGUUUGAAAUGAGGACCUUUUGUGGCUUUUGGCGUGGGCAUGACCUUAAUGUUGGCCGUUUGGGCCUGGGCCACAACCUGCGAAUGGCUGAUUUCAGUUACAUGUCUAUUUACAAAAUAUGCUCUUUGGGCUUCUGUUGGAGCCCAACGCAUUUUAGUUUAACAAUUGAUUAGAUGUGUUAUGCUCAUAAUUUUGAUUAAUUAGGAUUUCUUUUCUUUUUAGAGACAUACAAAAAAUAAAUAGAAAAUCAUAGGUGAUUUAGUUUUCCUUUUAAAAUAAACGAGAUGAGCCUUGCCAAGUAAAACUCAUAA